UCGGUCCUACGGGAGGCAGCAGUGGGGAAUAUUGCACAAUGGGGGAAACCCUGAUGCAGCGACGCCGCGUGAGUGAAGAAGUAUUUCGGUAUGUAAAGCUCUAUCAGCAGGAACGAGACAAGACGGUACCUGACUAAGAAGCCCCGGCUAACUACGUGCCAGCAGCCGCGGUAAUACGUAGGUGGCAAGCGUUAUCCGGAUUUACUGGGUGUAAAGGGAGCGUAGACGGCGCGGCAAGUCUGAAGUGAAAGGCAGGGGCUUAACCCCUGAACUGCUUUGGAAACUGCCAUGCUAGAGUGCUGGAG
rnacentral:rRNA from 1 species